GGAAUGUGGCUUAGUGGUAGAGUGCUUGCUCAGCAUGCAUGAGGCCCUGGGCUCAAUCCCCAAAACCACACCA
rnacentral:tRNA from 1 species